rnacentral:rRNA from 1 species
AUAACGGUCCUAAGGUAGCGAAAUUCCUUGUCAGGUAAGUUCUGACCCGCACGAAUGGCGUAAUGAUUUGGGCACUGUCUCAACAGCCCGCCCGGCGAAAUUGUAGUACUGGUGAAGAUGCCAGUUACCCGCAACUAGACGGAAAGACCCCAUGGAGCUUUACUGCAGCUUAAUACUGGAAUUCGGUAAAUCAUGUACAGGAUAGGUGGGAGACUAGGAAGCAUUGGCGUCAGCCAGUGUGGAGUCGCUGGUGGGAUACCACUCUUGAUUUGCUGGGUUUCUAACCUGCGGCCGUGAAUCCGGUCGGGGGACACUGUUAGGCGGGCAGUUUGACUGGGGCGGUCGCCUCCAAAAGAGUAACGGAGGCGCUCAAAGGUUGGCUCAGCACGGACGGAAAUCGUGCACUGAGUGUAAACGUAUAAGCCAGCCUAACUGCGAGACCGACGGGUCGAGCAGUAACGAAAGUUGGAGUUAGUGAUCCGGUGGUAUGUGAGUGGAAAUGCCAUCGCUCAACGGAUAAAAGCUACCCUGGGGAUAACAGGCUGAUCUCCCCCAAGCGUCCACAGCGACGGGGAGGUUUGGCACCUCGAUGUCGGCUCGUCACAUCCUGGGGCUGAAUUCGGUCCCAAGGGUUCGGCUGUUCGCCGAUUAAAGUGGCACGCGAGCUGGGUUCAGAACGUCGUGAGACAGUUCGGUCCCUAUCUGUUGCGGGCGUAAGAGAUUUGAAGGGAGCUGUCCUUAGUACGAGAGGACCGGGAUGGACGUACCUCUGGUGCACCAGUUGUCCUGCCAAGGGCAUAGCUGGGUAGCUAUGUACGGACGAGAUAAACGCUGAAAGCAUCUAAGCGUGAAACUCCCCCUAAGAUGAGAUCUCUCAUCCUUCAUGGAGUAAGGGCCCAGGAAGACUACCUGGUUGAUAGGCAAGAGGUGGAAGCGCAGUAAUGUGUGUAGCUGACUUGUACUAAUAGCCCGAGGGCUUGACCUA